GCAAAACGCGAAGAACCUUACCAAGGCUUGACAUCCCCUUGACCGGCACAGAGAUGUGCCCUCUCCUUCGGGAGCAAGGGUGACAGGUGGUGCAUGGUUGUCGUCAGCUCGUGUCGUGAGAUGUUGGGUUAAGUCCCGCAACGAGCGCAACCCUUAUCCUUAGUUGCCAGCAUUUAAGGUGGGCACUCUAAGGAGACUGCCGAUGAUAAAUCGGAGGAAGGUGGGGAUGACGUCAAAUCAUCAUGCCCCUUAUGUCUUGGGCUACACACGUGCUACAAUGGUCGGUACAAAGGGGAGCGAAGGAGUGAUCUGGAGCAAAUCCCAAUAAACCGAUCUCAGUUCGGAUUGUAGGCUGCAACUCGCCUACAUGAAGUCGGAGUUGCUAGUAAUCGCGAAUCAGAACGUCGCGGUGAAUGCGUUCCCGGGUCUUGUACACACCG
rnacentral:rRNA from 1 species